rnacentral:rRNA from 1 species
AUUGAACGCUGGCGGCAGGCUUAACACAUGCAAGUCGAGCGGAGAUGAGGUGCUUGCACCUUAUCUUAGCGGCGGACGGGUGAGUAAUGCUUAGGAAUCUGCCUAUUAGUGGGGGACAACAUUCCGAAAGGAAUGCUAAUACCGCAUACGUCCUACGGGAGAAAGCAGGGGAUCUUCGGACCUUGCGCUAAUAGAUGAGCCUAAGUCGGAUUGGCUAGUUGGUGGGGUAAAGGCCUACCAAGGCGACGAUCUGUAGCGGGUCUGAGAGGAUGGACCGCCACAAUGGGACUGAGACACGGCCCAGACUCCUACGGGAGGCAGCAGUGGGGAAUAUUGGACAAUGGGGGGAACCCUGAUCCAGCCAUGCCGCGUGUGUGAAGAAGGCCUUAUGGUUGUAAAGCACUUUAAGCGAGGAGGAGGCUCUUUUGGUUAAUACCCAAGAUGAGUGGACGUUACUCGCAGAAUAAGCACCGGCUAACUCUGUGCCAGCCGCCGCGGUAA